UCGGGAAUUUUGGGCAAUGGGCGAAAGCCUGACCCAGCAACGCCGCGUGAGGGAUGAAGUAUUUCGGUAUGUAAACCUCGAAAGAAUGGGAAGAAUAAAUGACGGUACCAUUUAUAAGCUCCGGCUAACUACGUGCCAGCAGCCGCGGUAAUACGUAGGGAGCAAGCGUUGUUCGGAUUUACUGGGCGUAAAGGGCGCGUAGGCGGCGCGGUAAGUCACUUGUGAAAUCUCUGAGCUUAACUCAGAACGGCCAAGUGAUACUGCUGUGCUAGAGUGCGGAAGAGGGAACCGGAAUUCGUGGUGUAGCGGUGAAAUGCGUAGAUAUCAAGAGGAACACCUGAGGCGAAGGCGGGUUGCUGGGCCGACACUGACGCUGAUGCGCGAAAGCCAGGGGAGCAAAC
rnacentral:rRNA from 1 species